GCAGCUACAUCAUCACCACAACAAGGACAGGGAUACAGAACACGUUUUACAGACAUUCUCCAUUCCCUACGUAAAUGUUUAUCGCUCGGCACAGUUCGGUCGUUAGACCCCCGCCAAUAAACCCUUUUAAUGCCUUUUUUUUCAUUCGGACUCGAAAGUUCUCCAGAGCAGCCCUUUCCGUCCCAAUCUCACAACGGUGCUGUACAGGACCUCCUGCUACGCUCCAUCCAUUCAUCCGCAAUAAUUCUUGCCCUAGCCGGGAUUGGAUGAUCAUCACCCGACAAACGGCGAGGACAUGGCUUUGGGGAGAUGUAGCUGCCGUAGACGGAGUGAUACGACGGCAGUCGCUCAGGCGUGUGUGGGAAUGAUAGUGGGAAUUCUCUAAGUAAAAAGGCCAUUAGGGCACCGAUUAUCUCAGGGUUGCUUGAACCCAAAUUAUUUACGCACGUAAGCGUCUCCACCUUCACAGCUCUUUCCUUAUCUUGAAGCCGGUCCCCAAUCGCCUGAUCUAACACGGGCGCAAAGAGCUUUUUGAUUCCAGCUCGCGAUAUAACGAGAAGGCAGGCCAUAGCGGAUACCUACACCUUGCUUAGAAUUUGAAAGGCGAAUCCGCCGACUUACCAUGUAACAUAUAACUUGCCAGC
rnacentral:sRNA from 1 species